UACGUAGGGUCCGAGCGUUGUCCGGAGUUACUGGGCGUAAAGCGCGCGCAGGCGGCGGUAUAAGCAUGGCGUGAAAGCCCCAGGCUUAACCUGGGAGGGUCGUCGUGGACUGUACCGCUUGAGGGCGGUAGGGGCUGGUGGAAUGCCUGGUGUAGUGGUGAAAUGCGUAGAGAUCAGGCGGAACACCCGUGGCGAAGGCGGCCAGCUGGGCCGUCCCUGACGCUGAGGCGCGAAGGCGUGGGGAGCGAACAGG
rnacentral:rRNA from 1 species